rnacentral:misc_RNA from 1 species
CGCCCUUUUCGUUGCAAAGGCUCGUGGUGGUACCUGCACUCUUGCAGUCUCUGAUCCUGAUAGUAUCGUAGUCCACCGAGCAAACCACUUGCUCAGCAACGGUUUCAGAUGCUACAACGUGUUCAAGAGCAACUGUGAGGACUUUGCCAUCUAUUGCAAGACGGGACUUCUUGCGGCUGAACAAGGAGUCGUUGGACAAAGCGGCCAGACGAUUUCGAUCAUAGGCGGCCCUCUUGCUGCCGUUCUCUCGACGCCCUUUCGACUGGUCACCACAAAUGUGUAUGGAAUGGCGGUGACAGCGGUUGUAUUCUACUGUGCCAGCCGUUAUGCGGCUGACAUCGGCAAUAGGAUGGAUGUGGUGAAGGUGGAUGUGGAGGAGCUGACAACUGGGCUGGCUACAGGUAGAGUUAGACUGACAGAG